rnacentral:tRNA from 1 species
GCCUGGCUGGCUCAGUGGGUAGAGCAUCCCACUCUUGAUCCAGGGGUUGUGAGUUCAAGCCCCACGUUGGGCU